rnacentral:SRP_RNA from 1 species
GCUGGGCGUAGUGGCGGGCGCCUGUAAUCCCAGCUACUCGGGAGGCUGAGGCAGGAGAAUCGCUUGAACCCGGGAGGCAGAGGUUUCAGUGAGCUGAGAUCGCACCACUGCACUCCAGCCUGGGUAACAUAGCGAGACUCUGUCUCAA